rnacentral:rRNA from 1 species
GUCUACGGCCAUACCACCCUGAACGCGCCCGAUCUCGUCUGAUCUCGGAAGCUAAGCAGGGUCGGGCCUGGUUAGUACUUGGAUGGGGGGCAGACAACUUGGAGAGAUC